CGGUUGAUCCUGCCGGACCUCACUGCUAUCGGGGUGGGACUAAGACAUGCAAGUCGUACGCCUCCCAGCCGCCGGGGGAGGCGUGGCGCACGGCUCCGUAACACGUGGCUAACCUGCCCUUGGGACGGGGAUAACCCCGGGAAACUGGGGCUAAUCCCCGAUAGGCGAGGAUGCCUGGAAUGGUUCCUCGCCGAAAGGGCGCCGGAACCGUGCUUCCGGUGUCGCCCAAGGAUGGGGCCGCGGCCGAUCAGGUUGUUGGUGGGGUAACGGCCCACCAAGCCGAUAACCGGUACGGGCCGUGAGAGCGGGAGCCCGGAGAUGGGCACUGAGAUAAGGGCCCAGGCCCUACGGGGCGCAGCAGUCGCGAAACCUCCGCAAUGCGCGAAAGCGCGACGGGGCCACCCCGAGUGCCGCCCGCUGAGGGCGGCUUU
rnacentral:rRNA from 1 species